AUAUAUAUAUGUGCAUAUUCUAAAACUGGAACGAUACAGAGAAGCUUAGCGUGGCCCCUGCGCUAGGAUGACACACAACUUCGUGAAGCUCCCCAUGUUUUU